ACCCAAAUGACGAGUCCGAAAUAGGAUGAAAUGUGCAUCCUGGAU
rnacentral:hammerhead_ribozyme from 1 species